rnacentral:rRNA from 1 species
GGGUUGUGAGGUUAAGCGACUAAGCGUACACGGUGGAUGCCCUGGCAGUCAGAGGCGAUGAAGGACGUGCUAAUCUGCGAAAAGCGUCGGUAAGGUGAUAUGAACCGUUACAGCCGGCGAUGUCCGAAUGGGGAAACCCAGUGCAAUUCGUUGCACUAUCGUUAACUGAAUACAUAGGUUAACGAGGCGAACCGGGGGAACUGAAACAUCUAAGUACCCCGAGGAAAAGAAAUCAACCGAGAUUCCCCCAGUAGCGGCGAGCGAACGGGGAGCAGCCCAGAGUCUGAAUCAGCUUGUGUGUUAGUGGAACGGUCUGGAAAGUCCGACGGUACAGGGUGAUAGUCCCGUACACCAAAAUGCACAGGCUGUGAACUCGAAGAGUAGGGCGGGACACGUGGUAUCCUGUCUGAAUAUGGGGGGACCAUCCUCCAAGGCUAAAUACUCCUGACUGACCGAUAGUGAACCAGUACCGUGAGGGAAAGGCGAAAAGAACCCCGGCGAGGGGAGUGAAAAAGAACCUGAAACCGUGUACGUACAAGCAGUGGGAGCACCUUCGGGUGUGACUGCGUACCUUUUGUAUAAUGGGUCAGCGACUUAUAUUCUGUAGCAAGGUUAACCGUAUAGGGGAGCCGCAGGGAAACCGAGUCUUAACUGGGCGUUAAGUUGCAGGGUAUAGACCCGAAACCCGGUGAUCUAGCCAUGGGCAGGUUGAAGGUUGGGUAACACUAACUGGAGGACCGAACCGACUAAUGUUGAAAAAUUAGCGGAUGACUUGUGGCUGGGGGUGAAAGGCCAAUCAAACCGGGAGAUAGCUGGUUCUCCCCGAAAGCUAUUUAGGUAGCGCCUCGUGAAUUCAUCUUCGGGGGUAGAGCACUGUUUCGGCUAGGGGGUCAUCCCGACUUACCAACCCGAUGCAAACUACGAAUACCGAAGAAUGUUAUCACGGGAGACACACGGCGGGUGCUAACGUCCGUCGUGAAGAGGGAAACAACCCAGACCGCCAGCUAAGGUCCCAAAGUCAUGGUUAAGUGGGAAACGAUGUGGGAAGGCACAGACAGCCAGGAUGUUGGCUUAGAAGCAGCCAUCAUUUAAAGAAAGCGUAAUAGCUCACUGGUCGAGUCGGCCUGCGCGGAAGAUGUAACGGGGCUAAACCAUGCACCGAAGCUGCGGCAGCGACACUAUGUGUUGUUGGGUAGGGGAGCGUUCUGUAAGCCUGCGAAGGUGCUGUGAGGGUGCUGGAGGUAUCAGAAGUGCGAAUGCUGACAUAAGUAACGAUAAAGCGGGUGAAAAGCCCGCUCGCCGGAAGACCAAGGGUUCCUGUCCAACGUUAAUCGGGGCAGGGUGAGUCGACCCCUAAGGCGAGGCCGAAAGGCGUAGUCGAUGGGAAACAGGUUAAUAUUCCUGUACUUGGUGUUACUGCGAAGGGGGGACGGAGAAGGCUAUGUUAGCCGGGCGACGGUUGUCCCGGUUUAAGCAUGUAGGCUGGUUAUCCAGGCAAAUCCGGAUAAUCAAGGCUGAGGUGUGAUGACGAGGCACUACGGUGCUGAAGUAACAAAUGCCCUGCUUCCAGGAAAAGCCUCUAAGCAUCAGGUAACAUCAAAUCGUACCCCAAACCGACACAGGUGGUCAGGUAGAGAAUACCAAGGCGCUUGAGAGAACUCGGGUGAAGGAACUAGGCAAAAUGGUGCCGUAACUUCGGGAGAAGGCACGCUGGUGUGUAGGUGAAGUCCCUGCGGAUGGAGCUGAGACCAGUCGAAGAUACCAGCUGGCUGCAACUGUUUAUUAAAAACACAGCACUGUGCAAACACGAAAGUGGACGUAUACGGUGUGACGCCUGCCCGGUGCCGGAAGGUUAAUUGAUGGGGUUAUCCGUAAGGAGAAGCUCUUGAUCGAAGCCCCGGUAAACGGCGGCCGUAACUAUAACGGUCCUAAGGUAGCGAAAUUCCUUGUCGGGUAAGUUCCGACCUGCACGAAUGGCGUAAUGAUGGCCAGGCUGUCUCCACCCGAGACUCAGUGAAAUUGAACUCGCUGUGAAGAUGCAGUGUACCCGCGGCAAGACGGAAAGACCCCGUGAACCUUUACUAUAGCUUGACACUGAACAUUGAGCCUUGAUGUGUAGGAUAGGUGGGAGGCUUUGAAGCGUGGACGCCAGUCUGCGUGGAGCCAACCUUGAAAUACCACCCUUUAAUGUUUGAUGUUCUAACGUUGGCCCCUUACCGGGGUUGCGGACAGUGUCUGGUGGGUAGUUUGACUGGGGCGGUCUCCUCCCAAAGCGUAACGGAGGAGCACGAAGGUUAGCUAAUCCUGGUCGGACAUCAGGAGGUUAGUGCAAUGGCAUAAGCUAGCUUGACUGCGAGCGUGACGGCGCGAGCAGGUGCGAAAGCAGGUCAUAGUGAUCCGGUGGUUCUGAAUGGAAGGGCCAUCGCUCAACGGAUAAAAGGUACUCCGGGGAUAACAGGCUGAUACCGCCCAAGAGUUCAUAUCGACGGCGGUGUUUGGCACCUCGAUGUCGGCUCAUCACAUCCUGGGGCUGAAGUAGGUCCCAAGGGUAUGGCUGUUCGCCAUUUAAAGUGGUACGCGAGCUGGGUUUAGAACGUCGUGAGACAGUUCGGUCCCUAUCUGCCGUGGGCGCUGGAGAAUUGAGGGGGGCUGCUCCUAGUACGAGAGGACCGGAGUGGACGCAUCACUGGUGUUCGGGUUGUCAUGCCAAUGGCACUGCCCGGUAGCUAAAUGCGGAAGAGAUAAGUGCUGAAAGCAUCUAAGCACGAAACUUGCCCCGAGAUGAGUUCUCCCUGAGACUUUAAGUCUCCUGAAGGAACGUUAAAGACGAUGACGUUGAUAGGCCGGGUGUGUAAGCGCAGCGAUGCGUUGAGCUAACCGGUACUAAUGAACCGUGAGGCUUAACCUUACAACGCCGAAG